rnacentral:rRNA from 1 species
UCGAGCGGGCGAGGUUGCUUCGGUAACUGAGCUAGCGGCGGACGGGUGAGUAAUGCUUAGGAAUCUGCCUAUUAGUGGGGGACAACAUUCCGAAAGGAAUGCUAAUACCGCAUACGCCCUACGGGGGAAAGCAGGGGAUCUUCGGACCUUGCGCUAAUAGAUGAGCCUAAGUCAGAUUAGCUAGUUGGUGGGGUAAAGGCCUACCAAGGCGACGAUCUGUAGCGGGUCUGAGAGGAUGAUCCGCCACACUGGGACUGAGACACGGCCCAGACUCCUACGGGAGGCAGCAGUGGGGAAUAUUGGACAAUGGGCGAAAGCCUGAUCCAGCCAUGCCGCGUGUGUGAAGAAGGCCUUUUGGUUGUAAAGCACUUUAAGCGAGGAGGAGGCUACUUGGAUUAAUACUCUAGGAUAGUGGACGUUACUCGCAGAAUAAGCACCGGCUAACUCUGUGCCAGCAGCCGCGGUAAUACAGAGGGUGCGAGCGUUAAUCGGAUUUACUGGGCGUAAAGCGUGCGUAGGCGGCUUCUUAAGUCGGAUGUGAAAUCCCUGAGCUUAACUUAGGAAUUGCAUUCGAUACUGGGAAGCUAGAGUAUGGGAGAGGAUGUAGAAUUCCAGGUGUAGCGUGAAAUGCGUAGAGAUCUGGAGGAAUACCGAUGGCGAAGGCAGCCAUCUGGCCUAAUA